rnacentral:rRNA from 1 species
UACGUAGGUGGCAAGCGUUGUCCGGAAUUAUUGGGCGUAAAGGGCUCGCAGGCGGUCUUCUAAGUCUGAUGUGAAAUCUUGCGGCUUAACCGCAAGCGGUCAUUGGAAACUGGAAGACUUGAGUACAGAAGAGGAGAGUGGAAUUCCACGUGUAGCGGUGAAAUGCGUAGAGAUGUGGAGGAACACCAGUGGCGAAGGCGACUCUCUGGUCUGUAACUGACGCUGAGGAGCGAAAGCGUGGGGAGCGAACAGG